AUCAGGGAAUUCUGGGAGAGAGCCAUGUGUGACAAAAGGGAGAGAUGAAAUCCAAUGUACGUCAAGUCUUCUGAAGAGUUCACGGGAUCAUUUUCCAGAUCGGACCCUUUCGAGGUCCAUGGGAUGAAGCUGACUUGGCAGUGAUAUGUGGUACAGGAUGGGGGCAAUUGUGUACCUGGCACUGACACUUUGUACCAUAUCCCUCGCAACAGGGAGGUGCAGGAAAGGGUCGGAGUUCUUCAACGAAGAUACCCAAGCCUGUGAACAAUGUUCAAAAUGUCCACAGAACAAGAUCAUUAAGGAGCCAUGCACAGAGACUCAAGAUGUACAGUGCAAGUCAUUCACAGAAUUCCGAAACUUCAACCAGAUAGAUACGGUCCAGUAUACCAAUGACAAAGAAGAGGAAGGUGCUUCUGACCCAGGUCAUGACAUUACCAUCAAGGAAAUACCUGCGAUAACGAAGGACGAGGGAGAAUACUGGAGAAACCUGGCUUUUGCCCUCAUUGGAGUGUUGUGUGCGUUGAUUGUCGUGGCAACCAUUAUAGUACUGUGUGCAUGUCGAAAGUUACACGAAACAGCGGCUUUAAAACGGCCGGAAGAGGAUGACUACGAUGACACAGACAGUGGGUAUGUGGUGAUACGGCAGAUCAGACAGCUGCCGUUGCCAAGCAACUCACGAUCUACAUCCGAACAGGCUGCAUCGUCGUUCCAGUCCUCUCGACAUCAGAAAAUGCCCUGGCUGUAUCGGCCAAAGAGACGAUUACUCAAUGAAUAUGUUGAUGAUGUGUUUGAAUCGGAAGACAGUGCAGGUUCACGGGCAAGCCGGAAACUGCCGUUAACUGUUAUUCCAGAACGUGAGAGCGAGGGAAACAGCUCGGGCAGCUACAGCGUCUAGCUCAAGACUGCGUUGUGGCGUCCGCAUCUACGAAACAAAUGUGGUGGUUCCCAUUACAUCAUCAAAAUUCAAUAUUUAUGUUACGGCGACAAAUUAAUUAUUUGUUUGUCCUUUGUUUUGAUCAAAUGUAGGAACUUGGUUAUUUGUUGUUGUCAUUGUUGUUUCCAUAAAUUGGAAUUAUUUUCAAAAUUGCUUCUCUCAAUUGGUGAAUGCAUUUUGUAGUUGUCCCAGCCGAUACUGAACAUGGAAGAUUUAUUAAUAGACACUUCGGGUUACAGAGUCAAGCUUGGUUUUACUGUCUGGGGGAAAAACAGCUUUUGUAAUACCAAUCCUCCACAGAGCCCUCAAUAUGGAGGUAUUAAGUCAUGCAUAGGGACAAUCAAUUCUGCUUCAUUUAAACCCAAUUACAAUACAAGGACAGUGUGUGUAAUGUUAGGGGCAUGUGGAGGGUUGCUUCCCUUCCGUAUGCCAGGAUCUGUUGUGACUAGAUCCAUGGUCUGUAAGCAGCAAACUUUUAAACAUCUGGUCUGUGACAUUUUGGCUUUCCUCCUCAACUAUUGCUGAAAUACUGUUGGAAUCAGGUUCGAACCUAGUCCAUCUUCUGAUCAAGUGGAUGUUUGAUCUUGCACUUGUGUAUCAGUUGGAUUGUCCAUUAUUUUUAGAAAGUUGAAAAAGCUGGAAAAAAUGUUGAUUAGCCAAAAUUGUUUGGUUGUGUAAUUGGAACCAAAGCAUUUAUCUGGACUGGUAUGUUACUGAUAUUACGUCAUGCAUGGUUUCUAUAGCAUGUGGUAUAUUUGAAACUUAAAAUUGUGUAUUUGUGGAAAAUGUAUAUCAACAUAUACCAAGAAAGUUGAGUUUUUGUAUUGUUUAUCCGAAGGAUAACAAUAUGAACUUAUAUUUUGUUGUCACUAGUACUGUGGGAGGACCCAUUCUGAUGCUGGGUUAUUUCAAAACCAAAGUUGUAAUUAUGAUACGGUUUUCAGGGUGUUUGUACCCAAGCUUCCACAUAUCCUACUGACUACAGCAUUAAACUGUCUUCCAUUAUCAUGAUAAAAGAGCAUGUGUCUAUUUUCAGUAAGUAAUAGUGUUGGAAAAAAAUGUGAAAUUGAGAUUCUAUAGUGCAUGCAUUUCUGCUGAAGAUAGAUGCUGUGGUAUGUGUUAAUAUCUUAACAUCACGUGAAACAUUACGUGAAAUUUAAUAAAUUAGAAUGUUUGCUCGGCUGCAGUUCCAGCUACAUAAAGGGGUAUAUGGCUACAAAAUUAUAAUAGUCUUGAUUCUCAGGCACUGCCCGCAUCAUCAUAAAGUUCGCCGCACAUUUCGUUUGUAUUUCCAUUUUAAAAAACCCCAACCAAAACAAUCCUUAAAUAUUGUCUAACUUUAGUCAUAUAUUCCAGUAUUUUACUCAUUAAGGAAUACUCGAGGGAGGCCCUUUCCCAAAGUUGAUGGUACACAACUGUUUAAUUGGUUACAUACUAGUUUGAACCCCCACCACCACCCAAAAAAAAAAGAUACCGCCCGCCCGCACUAUAUUUUCAAAAAACAAUUGCCUGAGAACCAAUUCUUUUAUUUUUUUAAGCCUAUCAGACAUGCUUUUGUGUUCACUGAAUAGUCCUGCUAAAUGUGCGUGUGCUGCCAAAUUAUGAAAGUACUAUUGUAUGGACAACUAUUCAUAACUUAUUGUAAUUAUUAUUACUUGCAUUUAAAUCUUGAAUCUCAAAUCUCAAAGUGCAUUUUGAGAAUGUCUGUUGUUGUUUUAGCUCUUGCCGUAGAAAGAAAUCAGUGUUCCAUGUGUCAUGUUAAACUUUGUCGUGAUUAUUUCGUACUUUGAAGGUGUUGGGUAACCGGCAUCUAAUACAACAUGAAUGAGGUCAUGGGUUACCCGUUGUUACUGGUUACGGUGUGGAACCAACAUGUUAUUUGUUCAGAGUUGUGUUGUACUUGUCAUCAAUUUAACAUUACAAGAUAAUCACUGCCAGGAGUUGAGAACUAGAGGGGUACCAUCUUCAGCUUUGUGUCUCGCGUCUCACACUCGACUAAAAAGUAAAAUAAAAAAAAACAAAGGUUUUUCUCAUAGACUUAAAAUGAAAUCUAUCUGAAUAAAAACUGUCAAAUCUUUCAUUAAGUCUUCCAAGGAAUUUUUUAUUUUUUUGUGGCAAAUUCAGUGACAAGUGUUAAAAAACAGCUCUUGUUAUCUUAAGAAAAAUGGUUACUGUCAUGACGAUCCGUUUAAUGUAUGGUGAUGUGAAACAUGAGAAAUUGACUAUGUUGCCCCUUUGGUGCUCACUAAUAAUCAAAGAGCAUUUAAUCAACAUUGGAGCCAGAUCCAGUCAACAUGACAGUGUCAGAUAAAACCCUUAACGUUUCUCUUGGGCUGUAUUUAAGAAAAAUGUUUCUCCGGCAAAUUUUUCUCAAAAGUGAGGAUGGAGGUAUGACUUUAUUUUUUUAAGUUAAUAUUUUAACAAAAGAGAUACAGAACACUUUUUUGUUUUACCACCAAGAAUACAGCAAUACAAACUGGCCACAGAUUUAACACGGCUCUUUAAUACAAUGUAUGGUUAACAGAGUAUGUUUCACAUGACAGGACAUUUUAUUUAUUUUUGCCAAUAUAAAUGACGUAAAGUGACAUGAGGAUGCCUGAGACACAUUUUUUUUAACCAGCGUUAAUACAUUGCUCAUUCCUCUGUUUGUAUUGUCUUUUUUGAUUAAUCUCAUAAAUCUGUCAAUCAUCAAGUGUGAAUUUGUCUUCAGCUAGAGUUUGAUGUUUUCUGUGGUUGACAGGUGGGAGGAAAGAUUUCAUAUAUAACAGCUCUUGUUUGUUUGAUAAGGGUGUCUAUGGGUUAAUUUGAACCUGCCUAUGCUAUUCAAUGCAAUGUUUUCAAAUAUUUUUGAUGUACAACUUGGCAAAGAGAGCUAGGCUUGGAGAAAAUGGCUGGUUGGAUAAGGGCCAUGUUGAUUUUAAAACGAUCUUGGCGUUACAUAUUUCGUAAAUCUGUUAGUGUCGAGCAAUCCCAAAUCUUUUCUCUUUUAGUCUCUUUAUAUGGUCUCUAGGUGAACCAACAAACAAUUGCACAAACAUAACGAACAAUCAGAAUGAAGGAUCAUGAGUAUUUUGGGGGAUAUUUUUUGUGUGUACUCAGUCUUCACUAUGAAAAAAUAGCCCCCCAAAAUUCAUUAUCCCAAUUUAAAAAAUAAAUAAAUCAGAAAACAAUGACUUCUUUUGAUAGAUGGCCUUCAUUACAACAACUAGAUUUGUAAGAAGUGCCACGGUGGGGGCCUUCCUUAACAAAUGUCACCGUUGUAAUAUUGGCUCCUUUAGACUUACACUACUCAACUUCUGAUUGGGAGUCUGAGCUAUUUCAUACUGUGACCAACCAAGCACACUAAGUUGUAAAACCUAGAAUAUCCCUAUCGAGGGGUGAGUUGUAUGUGGGGGGAUGCUCUGUGACACGUCCUCUCCCCUGUCCUUGCUGUCCGUUGUUUUGUUGUAACACCUAGAAUAUCCCUAUUGAGAGGUGAGUUGUAUGUGGGGGGAUGCUCUGUGACACGUCCUCUCCCCUGUCCUUGCUGUCCGUUGUUUUGUUGCUUGUCCGGAGACUGUUGUUGGUGGCUCUGCCAGGAAGUGGGCCAGCGAGGAACAUUGUGUACAUAAUGCGCAUGGUGAAAUGGCUGCUUCUUCAUACUAUUUAACGUGAGCCAAACCACCGUCGUAGCAGAUAAUAAAUAGAAAUCAGUUAUCAAA
rnacentral:misc_RNA from 1 species